AGGUUAAGUUAAUAAGGGCGCAUGGUGGAUGCCUUGGCACUAGAAGGCGAUGAAGGACGUGACUAACUACGAUAUGCCUCGGUUAGCUGUAAGUAAGCUUACCCGGGGGUUUCCGAAUGGGGCAACCCGAUCUUAAUGAUCAUCAUCUUUUUGAAUUCAUAGAUUAGAUGAAGCAAACGCUGUGAACUGAAACAUCUAAGUAGCAGUAGGAAAGUAAAGAAAUUUCGAUUCCGUCAGUAGCGGCGAGCGAACGCGGAAGAGCCCAAACCUGGAUGCUUGCAUCCAGGGGUUGUAGGACUGAUGUUGAGUUACAAAGGUAUAAGAUAGCAGAAACAGUUGGGAAGCUGUUCCAAAGAGGGUGACAGGCCCGUAUGCGAAAUCUUGUACUCUCUAAUCAGGAUCCUGAGUACGGCCCAGCACGUGAAAUUGGGUCGGAAUCUGGGAGGACCAUCUCCCAAGGCUAAAUACUAACUAGUGACCGAUAGCGAACAAGUACCGUGAGGGAAAGGUGAAAAGAACCCCGGAAGGGGAGUGAAAUAGUUCUUGAAACCGUGUGCUUACAAGAAGUUCGAGGCCGUUAAUGGCUG
rnacentral:rRNA from 1 species